rnacentral:rRNA from 1 species
GAUGAACGCUGGCGGCGUGCCUAAUACAUGCAAGUCGAGCGAACAGACGAGGAGCUUGCUCCUCUGACGUUAGCGGCGGACGGGUGAGUAACACGUGGAUAACCUACCUAUAAGACUGGGAUAACUUCGGGAAACCGGAGCUAAUACCGGAUAAUAUAUUGAACCGCAUGGUUCAAUAGUGAAAGACGGUUUUGCUGUCACUUAUAGAUGGAUCCGCGCCGCAUUAGCUAGUUGGUAAGGUAACGGCUUACCAAGGCAACGAUGCGUAGCCGACCUGAGAGGGUGAUCGGCCACACUGGAACUGAGACACGGUACAGACUCUUACGGAAGGCAGCAGUAGGGAAUCUUCCGCAAUGGGCGAAAGCCUGACGGAGCAACGCCGCGUGAGUGAUGAAGGUCUUCGGAUCGUAAAACUCUGUUAUUAGGGAAGAACAAAUGUGUAAGUAACUAUGCACGUCUUGACGGUACCUAAUCAGAAAGCCACGGCUAACUACGUG